AUCCUUCCGUUCAUAAGCGUGAUGACUAGGUGUUCACACUAUCAUGUAAGAUGUGCCUCCCUCUAAACCUUGAUCCAACAUAAGCACAUUACCUGUCUGAUG
ensembl:snoRNA